rnacentral:lncRNA from 1 species
AACCCGUGAUUGCUGGGACUGGCUCAAGCUCCACCAGGAGCCGUCGUUCUUUUACAAAGAGGGGUGGAGGUUCCAGUGGAGGCUGUUGUUGCCUUUUUUUUUUUUUUUUUAAUGAAUGGAGGGCGGCGGCGACUGCUGCAGCUGGGCCAGCUGCGCGGGCUGCACCCCCUCCCAGCCUGCGAGAGGAGCUAGUAGAAGAUUUGUACCAACAAAACCAAGGAGUAAACAACUUGAGAAUAACUGCAUGAGCUCAGGGCUUGGACUGUCAGAUUCCAUUUCUAAGCUUCCAGAAGAGCGACACAUAGACACUGGGGAAGUCAGAGCCUUUGAACUCCAAUGCCAUCCCCGUCACCCACCUCCACCACCAGCACCACCACCGAAUGGCACUUUGGACAAUUUUUCCCUCUCAUGUGACUUUUGUCAUUUCUUACGUCAGUUGGAGCCAGCACCUCUCAAAUCCAUCUUCUAAAACCCAGAAAAUUGUGUGUAACACAUGAUGACUGAAAGGGAGUAGGCUGACCAGUUAAGAGCCUGCCACUGGAAUGGAAGGCUGUGGGAAGGUGAGGGGACGGUGGACAUCAACCGGGAAGAGCUGAAAGAUGGCGUUACCAGAUAAGGAAACUGAGUCUCAGGGAGGUCAAGAGACAUGCCAAAGCACAGCUUGGAAGUGGUAAGGUGAAGAACAGAGUGCUGGUGUUCUGCUUCCUGGUUUGUCUCUCUCCCUCUGGUUUAUGUCAUCCAGCCCAUUUCUCCCUGUACCUGGAGAUGCUCCCUAAGCAAACUUUUCUGUGCAGAUGCAGAUUGAAUACAGAUGUUACAAUAGGGUUAGUCCCACAUAGCUGAACUCUUUCUAAAGAAAGACAGAAUCGUUUGCAGAGAAAACCAGAGCUUGUUUCCUAAAAACUUCCCUGGUAGAGGGUGGGUUUUUGUCUUUUUGGCCCAAGACAGAGAUGGUGGAUGAAGCUUCUCCUUCAAAUCUUCAAGAUUUAAAGAAAUUGCUCCGCCUCUUUGCCUGGAGGAAUGCCGUGCUGCUCAAAACACACUUUUGGACACGGCACAUUUUUCUGUCACAGUGGAAAGACCUGACUCCCUCAAAAGGGUGUUUGCAAAAAGCAUCGCGUUCUCAGAAUGACAAAACAGUUUUAAAAGAAAAAAACAUUGUGUCAGCCCUGCAGCUUAUCAAUAUAAAAUGAAGACUAAGAUUCAUUUAUGUGAAUGGAUCAUUUUUUGGGGGAGGGAGUUGUUAAAAAUUCAUAUAUCUUGGCUAAUGGAACCACUUCCAUAUCCACAAUGAAAAAAAUUAAAAAGGAGGCUUAUAAAACCUUUCCUGGAACAACCAGAAAAGGAGUGAGUCCCUGAAAAUACAAAUUGGUGGUGUUAUCUUUGCAUAUUUGCAAAAUUCUUUGAACUUCUGAAUAGUCUGUUGUGGACCUAGUCUGCUGUUACUUUGACACAGGGUCUUGCUCUGUUGCCCAGGAUGCAGUGCAGUGGCGUGAUCCUAGCUCACUAUAGUCUCAAAUUCCUGAGGUCAAGCACUGCUUCCACCUCUGCCUCCCAGGUAGGUAGAAUUACAAGCAUGUCACCACACCUGGCUAAUUUUUUUUUUUUUUCUUUUUGAGUAAGUGUCUCACACUGUUGCCUAGGCUGGAGUGCAGUGGUGUGAUCUUGGCUCACUGCAACCUCUGCCUCCUGGGUUCAAAUGAUUCUCGUGCCUCAGUCUCCCAGUAGCUGGGACUACAGGCGUGCACCACCAUGCCUGGCUAAUUUUGGUAUUUUUAGUAGAGAUGGGGUUUCGCAUGUUGGCACAGGCUGGUCUCGAACUCCUGUGCCUGGCCCUAGUUAUUUUUAUAUUAACAGUAAUGACCAAGCUCUGAGAGGUUCCUUAAUAUUAGUAGCAAAGGUAGGAUUCAAAUGCAGGUCUGGAUGACCCAUAACACAUAUCGUUUUGCACUACUCGGUUUGCCUUAAAUUAGCCCCUUCUUUGGAAUAAAGCACCCUGUUAAGAAGACAAGUUGAAGGCCGGGCGUGGUGGUUCAUGCCUAUAAUCCCAGCACUUUGGGAGGCCGAGGCAGGCAGAUCACGAGGUCAGGAGUUCAAGACCAGCCUGGCCAACAUAGUGAAACCCCGUCUCUACUAAAAAUACAAAAAUUAGCCAGGCAUGGUGGCGCAUGCCUGUAGUCCCAGCUACUUGGGAGGCUGAGGCAGUACAAUAGCUUGAACCUGGGAGACGCAGGUUCUGGUGAGCCGAGAUGGCGCCACUGCACUCCAGCCUAGGCAACAAGAUCAAAACGCCAUUUCAAAAAAAAAAGAAAAAAAAAGGCACCUUGAAUGUCACAUUUGUCCUCUUCAAGGUACUUGCUAUCUAAGGUGGGGGUGGAGAAUCCUUUAUUUUACAGAAACAGUGAUUAGUUCUUAAGCCUUACUUCAUAGAUAAGGAAACUGUGAAUCAAAGAGGUCAAGUGGGGCAGGCGCGGUGGCUCACGCCUGUAAUCCCAGCACUUUGGGAGGCCGAGGCAGGAGGAUCACGAGGUCAGGAGAUUGAGACCGUCCUGGCUAACACGGUGAAACCUCGUCUCUACUAAAAAAUACAAAAAAUUAGCUGGGUGUGGUGGUGGGCACCUGUAGUCCUAAGUAGCUUACUUGGGAGGCUGAGGCAGGAGUAUGGUGUGAACCCGGGAGGCGGAGCUUGCAGUGAGCCGAGAUUGUGCCACUGCACUCCAGCCUGGGUGACGGAGCGAAGACUCUGUCUCAAAAAAAAAAAAAAAAAAAGAGGUCAAGUGAUGUGUUCAAGGUCACAGCUAUGAAGUGACAAGACCUUUUUUUUUUUUGAGAUAGGGUCUUGCUCUGUCACCCAGGCUGGAGUGCAGUAGCGUGAUCCCCGUUCGCUGUAGCCAGCGUCAAGCUCCCAGGCUUAAGCAAUCCUCCCAUCUUAGCCUCCCCAGUAGUUGAGACUACAGGCACUUAUCACUGUGCACCACUAAUUAAAAUUUUUUUUUUUUAUUUAGAGAUGGGGUCUAUCAAUGUUACCCAGGCUGGUCUCAAAUUCUUGGCUUUGUGAUCCUCCCACAUCAGCCUCCCAAAGUGCUGGGAUUACAGGCAUGAACCACCACGCCCGGCCUUCACAUAUUUUACUUACUUCCCACUUCCCUCCUUACCUCCCUUCCCUCUUAAUUUCUGGCUGGUCAGUGAGCCCAGUAGGGCUAUCCUGCUGCAAUCACAUCUGCAGUGACAGCGUUUCCCUGCUUCACACUCUGGGCUCCCUGGUGACUGUCCUGCUAUGUACGAAGUUCAUUGGAGGUGCACACAUUAAGGGUGAAAAAAUGCUGGGACCUCCUAACAUACAGGGGAGGUGGGCUAGUGAGGCCACUCUGUAUUUGGGCUUUAGAGUCACCCAGCCUGGGUGUUAAUCCUGGCCUGUGCCACAUUGGCAGUGUGACCAAAGGUAUGUUAUUUAAUAUAUCUGUGCCUCUGAUUCUGUAUUUGCAAAAUGGGGAUGAGACCAGUACUUACCUCGUAGAGAUGCAGGAAGUUUUAGAAGCAUUAGUUCAUGACAGCCCUGGCACUGAUAAGUGUUAGGGACUAUUAUCCAAAACAAACACAAAACAUUAGGUCCUACCUUGUUAGUUUUAGAGUUAAUUGAUUUAAUUAACUGACAAUAAAAACAACUAAUAAUAACAAUAGCUAACAUGUGCCUGGCAUAGUGCCAAGUACCUUUAAUUAUUAACUUGUUUAAAAAUCUGAAGGUACAAGAGGGAUAUGUCUCCCUCCUACCCUGUAUUAUUUAGGGUUCUACAGAGAAACAGAACCAAUAAGAUAUAGAGAGAGGCUGGGUUUGGUGGCUCACACCUGUAAUCCCAGCACUUUGGGAGGCUGAGACGGGCAGAUCACCUGAGGUCAAGAGUUCGAGAUGAUCCUGGCCAACAUGGUGAAAUCCCAUCUCUACAAAAAUUAGCCGGGCAUGGUGGUGCACAUCUGUAGUCCCAGCUACUCGGGAGGCUGAGGCAGGAGAAUGGCUUGAACCCAGGAGGCAGAGGUUGUAGUGAGCCGAGAUCACACCACUGUGGUUUAGCCUGGGUGACAGAGUGAGACUUUGUCUCAAAAAAAAAAAUAUGCAUAGAAAGAAAUUUAUUAUGAGGGAUUGGUUCAUGACAUGGAAGCGGAGAAGUCCCACAUUCUGCCAUCUGUAAGCCGGAGAAUCAGGAAAGCCGGUGGUGGAGUUCCUUUCCAAGACCAAAGGCUGGAGGAACACAGAGCAAUGGUGUAAGUCCCAGUCUAAGUCUGAAGACCCCAAAACCAGGAGUGCAGAUGUCUAAGGGCAGGAGAAGAUGGAUGUCACAGCUCCAGAAGAGAGAAUUAACUCGUCCUCUGCGUUUUUAUUCCAUGCAGGUCCUCAACAGAUUGGAGGAUGCCAGUCCACCCUAGUGAGGGUGAUCUUUACUCAGUCUACUGAUUCAAAUGCUGAUGUUGGCCCCAGUACAGUGGCUCACACCUGUAAUCCCAGCAAUUUGGGAGGCUGAGGCGGGCGAAUCGCUUGAGCCCAGGAGGUUGAGACCAGCCUGGGCAACAUGGCGAAACCUCAUUUUUACAAAAAAUACAAAAAUUAGCCAGGCGUGCUGGCGCAUGCCUGUAUUCCCAGCUACUCAGGAGGCUGAGGUGGGAGGAUCAGUUGAGGCCGGGAAGUAAAGGCUGCGAUGAGCUGUGAUUGCACCACUGCAUUCCGGCCUGGGUGACAGAGUGAGACCCUGUCUCAAAAAAAAAAAAAAAAAAAAAAAGCUAAUGUUUUCUAGAAACACAGACACACCCAGAAAGUAUUUUGCCAGCUAUCUGGGCAUCCCUUAUCCCAGUCAAAUUGACACAUAAAAUUAACCAUCACGCCCCCAUGGUUUCCUCCAUGGAAGCAGCCAUUAUUACCAAUACUCUGCGUAUCUUUUCAGAUAUCUUCUGUGCAGACGAUUAUUUAAAUAUCUUUCUACCCCUUCAGCUUUAAAUGUAAGGAAACGGGCUCAGAGAAGUCAUAUAGUGAAUUGUAAUAAUAGCUCCUAUUCUGUGUGUGAGGCUCUGCCCUGGGCACUGUGUGAUUUUGAAUCCUGGCUACAACCAUGCAGCAUGAGACUUAUUGUGUAGAAUAGAUGCUCCAGGCCUCAGUUUGCCUCAGUGGGUUGACUGAGGAUUAAAUGAAAUAAUCCAUGUAGAGGGGCUUCUCAGAUCCUGGCACAUCAUAACUGCUGAGUAGGUGAUGACUGCAGGGGAGGGGAGGAUCCGAGGUUUUUUUUUUUUUUUUUUUUUUUGAGACGGAGUCUCGCUGUGUUGCCCAGGCUGAUGCACUUAGAUCCUCGGCCGGGUGCGGUGGCUCAAGCCUGUAAUCCCAGCACUUUGGGAGGCCGAGGCGGGCUUAUCAUGAGGUCAGGAGAUCGAGACCAUCCUGGCUAACACAGUGAAACCCCAUUUCUACUAAAAAUAUAAAAAAUUAGCCGGGCUUGGUGGCGGGAGCCUGUAGUCCCAGCUACUCGAGAGGCUGAGGCAGGAGAAUGGCGUGAACCCUGGAGGCAGAGGUUGCAGUGAGCCGAGAUGACGCCACUGCACUGGGCGACAGAGCGAGACUCCGUCUCAAAAAAAAAAAAAAUACUAGGAAUGUAAGUGAAUAUUUAUUUCAAGUGAGAAACAGAGCUCUAACAAUUUACACAUUUUAUCUUUUUUUUUUCUUUUUAAAAGUUUUUUUUUUUUUUGGCUGGGACCGGUGGCUCAUGCUUGUAAUUCUAGCACUUUGGGAGGCCGAGGCAGGCAGAUCAACUGAGGUCAGGAGUUCAAGAUGAGCCUGGCCAACAUGGUGAGACCCUGCCUCUACUAAAAAUGCAAAACUUAGCCAGGUGUGGUUGUGUACACCUGUAAUUCCAGCUACUUGAGAGGCUGAGGCAGGAGAAUCAUUUGAACCUGGGAGGCGGAGUUUGCCAUGAGCAGAGAUUACACCAUUGCACUCUGGCCUGGGCGACAAGAGACUGUCUCAAAAAACAAAAUUUUUUUUUUUUUCUUUUGUAGAAAUGGAACCUUGCUAUAUUGCCUGGGUUGGUCUCAAACUACUGGGCUCAAGCAUUCCUCCCACCUCAGCUUCCCAAAGUGUCCGGGCCAGUUUACACAUUUUAAAAGCCAACAAAUACCUCAAACACUACACACUCCAGAAGAAUAAUAGGACAUUUUUUCUUAAUUUACUGCCUGACACACUUCUGUAGCACUUUUUAUUCCUAUAUUAUCCAGCUUCAUACUCUUUGAUCACUUCUUCAUAUGAUAAUGAUUUUCUAAAAUAAUUUUCUGUAGAGCGAAUAAAAGAUAAUUCAGUCUUUUCUCUAGCAUGGGUGAUCAAAAUUUGCUUUUAGUUAUUGAUAGUCUAGACGCAAAAAAUAAAGACAUUCAUAGACACAAACACUGUCUGUAGUAUUACUACGUGUUUGUGUCUCUCAGAGGAAUUUUAGUAAAUUCAGUUUUGUGUUAUUCCCACCAAAAAUGAAAAAAGAAUCUAAGGUGGGCCAGGCGUGGUGGCUCACGCUUGUAAUCCCAGCACUUUGGGAGGCUGAGGCAGGUGGAUCAUGAGGUCAGGAGAUCGAGACCAUCCUGGCUAACACGGUGAAACCCCGUCUCUACUAAAAAUACAAAAAAUUAGCCGGGCGUGGUGGUAGGCACCUAUAGUCCCAGCUACUCAGGAGGCUGAGGCAGGAGAAUGGCGUGAACCCGGGAGGCGGAGGUUGCAGUGAGCCGAGAUCGUGCCACUGCACUCCAGCCUGGGCGACGGUGCGAGAGUCUGUCUCAAAAAAAAAAAAAAAAGAAUAUGAGGUGCAUUACAAUUAAAUGCACGUGUUAAUAGAGUGUAUUUCUUUUUUAUUGUUAUUAUUUAUUGAGGCAGAGUCAGGCUGGUCUUGCACUCCUGACCCCAAGUAUUCCAUCCACCUCGGCUUCCCAAAGUGCUGGGAUGACAGGUGUGAGCCACCAAGCCUGGCCUAGUGGAGUAUAUUUCUGACAGACGAGAACUUCCAUUUUGAUUGACUCUUCACCUAUUUUUCAUGUCUAAUAACGGGAAGCAUUUUUCACAGGCGAGCAUCUAACUAUAUACAUUUUAAACCUUCCUUCUUCCCCACCACAUCCUUCAGGAUUGGGCCCUGUAGGAUGUGUUCAUAUGGUGAUACAACUUCUGAUGAGGUGUCAGGACCUUGGUGGGGGGUACUUGCUACUGGAGUUUUACUGGGAGCUGUUCCUACCCUGGGAGGGUUAGCAAUACUCAGCUUAAUGAUCUGCUAAACUCAAUGUACCAGCGACUCAACUCCCAUGUGCGUGCAUCCCUGAAUGCCCGUGGCCACUCUUAACGUCACACAACAGGAAGGGAGAAGGGGCAGAAGGGAGACUGGAGUGGAGAGAGAUGGAGGUCUUUCCACUUGUGGUUAAAAGACUUGAUGCUGGCAAAUGUUAGAGAAACCAAAGACCAUCCGAUGGAUGCUUUUCUUUCCGGGCCCUUUGCAAGACCUUGGAAGGGGCUGAUCCAAGCAGGGAUCCUGAAGCUUCAGCUGUGUUAGCCUCACGGUGGACCUGGUUAGUUAUCACUUAUAUUCAUGGUUCAGGGCAGUGUCAUUUGAGAGCGAGCCGUGGAGCCCACUCAGGAGCUGCAGGCCUCGCUGGCAUGUUAACAUGCUCCAUAAACCUUGGUUCCUCAGCAGGAAGCAUGACACUAUUAAUAGUCUCCACCUCACUGGGAAUAUAAAGUCCACGAGGGCAGGCACUGGUCUGCUUAUUGCUGUGUCCUUGGUGUAUAGAACCCAUGGGCCGCACUGAACAUAUGGUAUGCUAGGUGUUGGGUGGCUACCCCCAAACUCUCAGAGAAAAGGAAACUGAGGCACAAUGAGCUUACAUACCUUCACUUGAAGCCAGACGUGUCCAGCUCCAAAUUCCUUUUCCUGUACAACAUGCUGCCCCUAGUCAACUGGAUGGAGAUCCGGGGUCUCGGCCUCCUUUCCUUCCUGCAUAUUCUCCCAUGCAAACUGAACAAGCAGGGGAAACUUAGCCCACCUCUGAGUUCCUGAGAUCAUCAUCUGAGUUAUUCUCUCCCUUAUGGAUCUGAGAAGGAGUCCCUGGGAUUUGUUCUGAUCCAUGGAAUACAUUGUUCUAGAGACUCUUUGGACUCCAACCUGAGUCCCUGGGAAUGAUGUGAGGUAGGAGAUGUGGAAGAACAAAAAUGAAUGGUUUUGAGCCAUAAAAUAGUGAGCCUGAAAAACGAGUUUGGAAGAUGAAUGGCUUUGGGGCUUCUGGAACUUAGCAGGGGCUAUCCUGGGAAUUACUGACAUUUCUGCCUCAGACCUCUGGGAGGCCACUGGUAAACCAGAGGCCACCCCCCUCCCUUCACAGGUCCAUUGGAUUCGAAGGGGUCCUCACACGAAGCAGGAAGUCACCCUGUAUCUCAGAACUGUGGAGAUCUCAGUCCGUGGUCAUCUUGUCAUACAUGACAUGGCAGGAGCCAUGGUCCAGGGAACCAGGUGGCUGCCAACUUGCAGAACAGGCGACAAAACCCCAGCCUGGACCCCCAGACCAUGCACUUCUCCCUUUGCCCUGCUUCUCCUCUGCCUGGUACAGGUUUCCAGCCAAGCUCUGCACCGGCUUCUAUGUCUGUUUGUUUUCCUUAGAAGCUUCCUAUAGAAAGCACCAGGUAAGGCUGAAGAUGCUCACUUCCCCCUGUUGUUUAACAACGCAACUGGGAUUUUGCAGCCUCUGCUUCCAGCCUAAUUCUCCAUUGAGCCCUGGGAUAAUAUUUACACACAAAUGCUGGCUCUAAUCUCCACCCAGGAAAACACUAGCUGCUAUUGAAAAUCUUUUCACCCGUGAUAGAAAGCAGAGCGGCCAGGCCUCACGCAGGCACCCUCGAGCUUCUCUGGAGAGUGUUAGGGAACAGCAAGUGUGUUUUAUUUAUAUUUUUUUAAAGUCAUCCCAGGGCUGUGUCCAGGCAACUGAGGGCCUGUCAAAGAACCGAAUGUCUAAUUCCCUUUAGAAAAAACAAAGGGAUUAGGUGUCCCUGGGACUUUAACAAAUGCAUUGUUGGUGGUUUUGAUUUAGGUUUCAUUUAGGGAAGGCAAGUGCAGAAACGAGGAUGCCAAAGAUCCAGGCUACCAGUGUUGCGAAGAUGCCUGGAGACAGGCAUGCAUAAAAUGUUGGCGGGGAUGUAAAUUAGUGCAGCCUUUUGGAGGGAAAUUUGGCAACAUCUUUCAUAAAAAAUGAGCGUGACCUUUGAUGCAGUAAUUUCAUGCUUUGUAAACUACACUACGUUAAUAGUUGCACGUGUAUACAAAAACCUAUGUUAAAAAAUGCUCACUGCAGUGACAAAUAGGAAAUCACCAUGAAUCUAUCAGUAGGGGCCUGGUUUGAUAAAUUAUAUUUUAUCCACAGAGUGGACUACUACAUGGCCAGUAAAGAAAAGAACAAGGUGGGGCCGUGUGCGGUGGCUCAAGCCUGUAAUCCCAGCCCUUUGGGAGGCCGAGACGGCGGAUCACGAGAUCAGGAGAUGGAGACCAUCUUGGCUAACAUGGUGAAACCCCAUCUCUACUGAAAAUACAAAUUAGCCGGGUGUGGUGGCGGGCGCCUGUAGUCCCAGCUACUCGGGAGGCUGAGGCAGGAGAAGCGUGAACCCAGGAGGCGGAGGUUGCAGUGAGCCAAGAUGACACCACUGCACUCCAGCCUGGGUGACAGAGCGAGACUCCGUCUCAAAAAAAAAAAAAAAAAGAACAAGGUAGAUUAUAACAAUGGCCAACAUACAUAUAGCACUUACUGUGUACACACUAGUCUGAAAGUUCUAUGUAUUUUAGAAUAUCUGCACAUUUAUAAUAUUAACUCAUUUGAUUUUCUCAACAAUUAUCUGGUUACUAUUACUAGAAUUUUUUUAAAUCAGGAAAGAGAUGUUAAGUAACUUGUCUAAAGUCACAUAGCUGGCGAGUCGGGGAGCUGGGCUUCAAGUCAUCUGGCCUCAGGGUCUGGGUCAAUAACCACUACCCAAAUGCCUGUAUGUACAGGCAUGGAAAGAUGCUUUUGACAUAUGAUUAAGUGGAAAAUUCAAGUAGCAGAGAAGUAGGAGCUUAUCUUUUUCAGGUAAAAAGAAGCUGCAUGUGUGCAUGCCUACGUGAAUAUAUUUUAUAUAUUUGUAAUAGUAAAGGUUCUGGAAAAAUACGUGUUCAAUCAGCAAUUCUCAACCAGGAAGGGAGGUGAGAUGGGCUACAUAAAGAGGAUUUUGGCUGGGGGCAGUGGCUCAUGCCUGUAAUCCCAAUACUUUGGUAGGCCGAGGCAGGCUUGAGCCCAGGAGUUCCAGACCAGCCUGGGCAACAUAUUAAGACCCCAUCUAUAAAAGAAAAAAAUUUUUGGCUGGGCGCAGUGCCUCACACCUGUAAUCCCAGCACUUUGGGAGGCCGAGGCGGGCAGAUCAUGAGGUCAGGAGAUCGAGACCAUCCUGGCUAACACGGUGAAACCCUGUCUCUACUAAAAAUACAAAAAAUUAGCCAGGCUUGGUGGUGGGCACUUGUAGUCCCAGCUACUCGGGAGGCUGAGGCAGGACAAUGGCGUGAACCCGGGAGGCGGAGCUUGCAGUGAGCUGAGCUUGUGCCACUGCACUCCAGUCUGGGUGACAGAGCGAGACUCCAUCUCAAAAAAAAAAAUAAUAAUAAUAAAUAAUAAAUAAAAUAAGUGCAGUGGCACAAUCUUGGCUCGCUGCAACCUCCAUCUCUGGGGCUCAAGCAAUCCUCUCAUCCCAGUCUCCUGAAUAACUGGGACUGCAGGUGCAAGCCACCACCCCUAGCUAGUUUUCAUAUUUUUGGUAGAGACGGGCUUUUGCCAUGUUGCUCAGGCUGGCCUCGAACUCCUGGGCUCAAAGUGAUCUACCUGCCUCAGCCUACCAAAAUGCUGGGAUUACAGGUGUGGGCUACUGCUUCCCGCCAAAUUUCUUUUUUUUUUUUUUUGAGAUGGAGUCUCGCUGUGUCACCAGGCUGCAGUGGUGUGAUCUUGACUCACCAAAACGUCCGCCUCCGAGGUUUAAGCGAUUCUCCUGCCUCAGCCUCUCAAGUAGCUGGGAUUACAGGCAUGCGCCACCACACCCUGCUAAUUUUGUAUUUUUAGUAGGGACGGGGUUUCACCAUGUUGGUCAGGCUGGUCUCGAACUUCUGACCUCAUGUGAUCUGCCCGCCUUGGCCUCCCAAAGUGCUGGGAUUACAGGGGUGAGCAAUCAUGCCCAACCAUUUGGUUUUCUUUUCUAAAUGGUCCUUUCAAAAGAAGACUUCCUGUUAAUCGUGGGCUCAGAGUGACACUUUUGAUUAACACCAAAGUAAGAGAUGUGGAGCCAAGCCUAAUAAGUCUUGCAAUAAAUUGGAUGAAGGUAGACCAAUUAAUUGUUGUUCUGAUUGGCUGAAGGGAUCCUGAGAUAAUGACUCUUGUCCUCAUUACCCUCUAGUCUUGCCUUCUCCUGGAAGCUUUGGCCCAGAUGUUGGAAGAGUAAUGUUGAUUUUCUUGACAUACAGCCCCUCCACAUUCCAUCUUCACUCCCAUGCCCCCCUGCAUUUAAUGUGUUCAUUUAAUGCAUUAUUGCACCUCAUGUAAAUACCCCUGGUACUUUACUUGGGCUGUUGUUUAAACCACUGUCCCUUCAGGGUCAUCCAGUAAAAACCGGACUCAGGCUGCCUUCCAUUUGCAGGCACUUUACAAUCUCCUAAUCUUGUUCCCAUUCAUUAUUUUGGUUAACGGGGUGGAGCCUUGUCACUUUAAUGCAGGUUGUGCAAUAUCUCUUUCAAAGUAAAACUAAGCAGGGUCUUAGGAGAGGGUCUGAUGAGGACAAUGAGGGUUAUCAAAAUUUUAAUCCCCAUUUUUAAACCCCAGUGUUUAAACCUUGCUUUGUGAAGUGUAACCUAUCACAGUGAAUAUAGAAAAAUGACAUAACAGCUUCUACUUACUGUGUCAGGUCAAAAAGCACCCAAAGUUUCCAUGUGUUUUCUCAGUUUUGUUCUUGCAGCAAGUUUAGGGGGUACUUUUUUUUUAAAUCUCCCAUUAUCUCCAUAAGGAAGCCGAGGCUCCAGGAGACUAGGUAAUGUCCUCAACAAUACACGUGUGGAAAGUGGAAAAUGGAUUUCUCAACCAGGUUUGUGUAUCUGUCUGCAAUUCCCAGUGCUGAGCCUCUCAAUGGAUGAAAUAAUUGAGAAAAGAAAAAAAGUGUAACUCAAAAACCACCCCCCUAAUAGAUAGUAGUACUCAUAUACCAUCUCCCUAACAUACUGUUAGCAAUUUAGGUUUAUUUCCUUUGUGUUAUGUAUCUAAACAAAAUGAAAUUUAAAAAAACAACUUGGUAACUAGAGGAUAUGUAAAAUGUUUAUAUCCUGUUUUGAUUUUUUUUUGUCCUACUAACAUUGUCAUCGUAACCAUCUUCCUUAUUGCUUCGUGUCAUCAUUUUAAAUGGUUGCACUCUAUUUAGAGAGUGGUGGCCUUGGGGGAGAGAUUCCUAGAUGUGGAAAUUGGUAGGUCCAAGAGUAUAAAUGUUUUUAUGGUUUUUGAUACACAUUGCUAAAUUGCUUUCUAAAAGAUCUAUUUUAAUUUGCACUUCAAUCAACAAUUUUGAGAGUGUCAUUUUCAUCACAUUCUUGCUGGCAUUAGUUAUUGUUAGAAAACGAAACCAAGGCCGGGUGUGGUGGCUCACGCCCGUAAUCCCAGCACUUUGGGAGGCCAAGGUAGGUGGAUCACGAGGUCUCAAGAUCGAGACCAUCCUGGCCAACAUGGUGAAACCCCGUCUGUACUAAAAAUACAAAGAAAAUUAGCCAGGCGUGGUGGUGUGCCUGUAGUCCCAGCUCCUCGGGAGGCUGAGGCAGGAGGAUGGGUUAAACCCGGGAGGCAUAAAUUGCAGUGAGCUGAGAUGGCGCCACCACACUCCAGCCUGGGCGACAGAGCAAGACUCCGUCUUAAAAAAAAAAGAAAAAGAAAACAAGGCCAGGCAUGGUGGCUCUGGCCUGUAAUCUCAGCUCUUUGGGAAGCCAAGGUGGGUAGAUCACUUGAGCUCAGCAGUUCGAGACCAGCCUGGGCAACAUGGUAAAACCCUGUCUCUACAAAAAAAUACAAAAAUUAGCCAGACAUGGUGGCACGUGCUUAUAGGCCCAAUUACUCUGGAGGGCUGAGGUGAGAGGAUCAUUUGAGCCUGGGAGGUGGAGACUGCAGUGAGCCACGAUCACACCACUGCACUCCAGCCUGGGCAACAGAGCAAGACCAUGUCUCAAAAAGAAAAUGAAAACAAGAAAAAGUCCUAAUAUCUACCAAAUUGUUCACAGUAGUUAGUGUCGAGAGUGGGCUGGGGCUGGUGAAGUGAGGAGGUGUCUAUUUUCUUUUCUUUUCUUUUUUUUUUUUUUUUUUUUUGAGACAGAGUCUUACUCUGUCACCCGGGCUGGAGUGCAGUGGCAUGAUCUCCGCUCACUGCACCCUCCACCUCCAAGGUUCAAGUGAUUCUCCUGCCUCAGCCUCCCGAGUAUGUGGGAUUACAGGUGCGUGCUACCACGCCCAGCUAAUUUUUGUAUUUUUUUAGUAGAGACAGGGUUUCACCAUGUUGGCCAGGAUGGUCUGGAUCUCCUGACCUCGUGAUAUGCCCGCCUUGGCCUCCCAAAGUGCUGGGAUUAUAGGUGUGAGCCACCGUGCCCAGCCAGGUGUCUAUUUUCUCCUGUAUCUAAUGUGGUAUUAUUAAAAAUAUUUUAUUAUAGGCACAUAUUACUUUUGUGUUUUUUAUAUAUAUACGUAUAUAUAUACACUUUUUUUUUUUUUUUGAGACGGAGUCUCGCUCUGUCGCCCAGGCUGGAGUGCAGUGGCGCCAUCUCGGCUCACUGCAAGCUCCGCCUCCUGGGUUCACGCCAUUCUCCUGCCUCAGCCUCCUGAGUAGCUGGGACUACAGGCGCCUGCCACCACGCCCGGCUAAUUUUUUGUAUUUUUAGUAGAGAUGGGGUUUCACCAUGUUAGCCAGGAUGGUCUCGAUCUCCUGACCUCGUGAUCCACCCGUCUCGGCCUCCCAAAGUGCUGGGAUUACAGGCAUGAGACACCGUGCCCGGCCUGUCAUAUAUAUUUUAAACUUUAUUUUGAAAUAAUUUGUCUCAUAGAAAAGUUGCAAAAAUAAUGCAAAGAAUUCCCUGUAUACCCUUUGUAACACAUAUUUUUUUGUUUUGUUUUGUUUGUUUGUUGAGAUGGAGUCUUGCUCUGUCACCAGGCUGGAGUACAGCGGCGCCAUCUCGGCUCACUGCAACCUCUGCCUCCUGGGUUCAAGUGAUCCUCCUGCCUCACCCUCCCAAGUAGCUGGGACUACAUGCCCGCGCCACCAUGCCUAGCUAAUUUUUUGUAUUUUUAGUAGAGACGGGGUUUCACCAUGUUGGCCAGGAUGGUCUUGAUCUCUUGACCUCGUGAUCUGUCCACUUCAGCCUCCCAAAGUGCUGGGAUUACAGGAGUGAGCCACCGCACCCAGGCUGUGAUACAUAUGUUUUUUUGAGAUGGAGUCUCGCUCUGUCGCCCAGGCUGGAGUGCAGUGGCGCAAUCUCUGCUCACUGCAAGCUCCACCUCCCGGGUUCACGCCAUUCUCGUCCCUCAGCCUCUGGAGUAGCUGGGACUACAAGUGCCCACCACCACGCCCAGCUAAUUUUUUGUAUUUUUAGUAGAGACAGGGUUUCACCGUGUUAGCCAGGAUGGUCUCGAUUUCCUGACCUCGUGAUCCACCCGCCUCGCCUCCCAAAGUGCUGGGAUUACAGGCGUGAGCCACCAUGCCCAGCCACUUAUUUUUAAAUAUAAAGUAAUUAAAAUAAAUGUUUUCUAAAUGUCAGUCCUUACAUCAACUUGUAAGUUGAGAUUUCUUCAUAGGUAGGCUAGGGCUCAACAGCAACUUGGGGAAAUGCUUAUUAAAAAUGUAAACUCUUAGGCCUGAGCAAGACAUCGAAUCAGAAUGUUUGGGGGUGAGCUUGGAAAAUCUUUCAGUAGCCCUUCUCCUGCCCUCUGAGGCCCAUCAGGGGCUGAGAACCAGUGUCAGACAGGUUCCUCUUUAUUUCCUCCAGCAAUAUUGUGGCUUCUUCACCUUGAGAGCCCUCCAGUGUGCAAGGGUUUGGAAAAGUGAGUGAAAUCUGAGCAUCUUUGUUGUGACUUUUCCCACUUGGUGCUGCUACUGCUCUGCUCCAGCCAAGCUGUCUGUAAUUUGUUUUCACAAGAGCCUGCUCUCUCCCUCAAACUAGAAAAGACCCCUCCACAGGAGGCCAGGUCCGGAACGCAGGUUUAGGUGGUGUAGGCCCUUCUCACCCUCACCCCUUCUGUCCUGAGUGUUCCAGGUGGAUGCCAAGGAGGUGGAGGAGGCUUCCCUGUCUCCUGGCUCUCCUGGAGGAGCAACUGUGAGGCCCCGAGAUGGGGAGGGAGCCCAGAUUCUGGCUUUUGGUCUUCCUGCUGUUUCUUUUGUCUGAUGCUGGUGCAUUUCCAUGGACAGUUUAUUUCCCUUGGACACUGUGGGCUUGGUUUUUCCAUGAGUGUGUGACGCUGUGGUCAUUCACCAGGCCCUGUUGGUGGUCUCGGUGGGGGCCACAAGGCUCAGAUCUCACCUGCCCCUUUUCCUACCUCCUCCACUCUUUGCUCAGCCAUCAACAUUCCUUUCUGUCCCAGAAGUGUUCUUUCCAAAAUGCAGAUCUGCCCAUGUCCCCUAAUGACGUCACUUAUUGACUUCGCUAUGGAAAAGGAGCGAUGGGGAAUGUGGCCGGAAGGACAGCAGAGAGCCAGACUGUGGAGACCUUUGAAUUCCAGAGGAACAAAAGUAUUUUGGGUGGCUCACACCUGUAAUCCCAGCACUUUGGGAGACCAAGGCGGGCAGAUCACCUGAGGUCAGGAGCUUGAGACCAGCCUGACCAACAUGGUAGAACCCCAUCUCUAUUAAAAAUACAAAAUUAGCCAGGCAGGGUGGGGGGUGCCUAUAAUCCCAGCUGCUUGGAGGCUGAGGCAGGAGAAUCGCUUGAACCCGGGAGGCAGAGGUUGCAGUGAGCCAAGAUUGCACCAGUGCACUCCAGCCUGGGCAACAGAGUGAGACUUGGUCUCAAAAAAAAAAAAAAAAAAAAAAAGACCGGGCGCAGUGGUGGCUCACGCCUGUAAUCCCAGCACUUUGGGAGGCCGAGGCAGGCGGAUCACGAGGUCAGGAGAUCAAGACCAUCCUGGCUAACACGGUGAAACCCCGGCUCUACUAAAAAUACAAAAAAUUAGCUGGGCGUGGUGGCGGGUGCCUGUAGUCCCAGCUACUUGGGAGGCUGAGGCAGGAGAAUGGUGUGAACCCGGAAGGCAGAGGUUGCAGUGAGUCCACAUCAUGCCACAGCACUCCAGCCUGGGCGACAGAGCAAGACUCCGUCUCAAAAAAAAAAAGUGUCUUAUAUAAAAAUAUAUACAUAAAAUAUAAAAAUAGGCGGGGCACAGUGUCUCACACCUGUAAUCCUAGCACUUUGGGAGGCCAAGGCGGGCAGAUUGCCUGAGCUCAGGAGUUUGAGACCAGCCUGGGCAACACAAUGAAACCCCAUCUCUACUAAAAUACGAAAAAUCAUCCGGGCAUGGCGGCGGGCGCCUGUAGUCCCAGCUACUCAGGAGGCUGAGGCAGGAGAAUCGCUUGAACCUGGGAGGCAGAAGUUGCAGUGAGCCGAGAUCGCGCUACUGCACUCCAGCUUGGGUGACAGGGCGAGACUCCGUCUCCAAAAAAAAAAAUAUGUAUACACACACACACACACACACACACAAUAUACAAAAAAUAUACUGUUUUAUGUAUAAACAUACAUAAAAUAUACAUAUACAUGAAAACAUACAUAUCAAUAUACAUAAGUAUAUUAUGGACUAAUACAGGCAAUUUGGAAAAAAAGAAAGUAGAAAGUAGGGGGAAAAAAGUUGCUAGUCGUUCUGCUAGCCAAGUAAAGCUGCUGGCUGCAUUUGGGUGUGGUCGUGUGCAGGAUAAGGGCACAGGCCCUGAAUCAGGUGAGUCUGGGUUCAGAUGCCUUCCUUCUUCCUUAUUAGCUGUAGGCAACCAUCGGGCAGCUUAAUUAUCCUCUGGGUGCUUCAGUUUUCUCAUUGGUGAAGUAAGGAUAAAAAAAAGUUCCUAAUGUGUAGGCUUGCCUUGAAGAUGAAAUGAGGUAAGUAUGGAAAGCAGUUAGCUGGCUGCUUCCUAAGUGUUAGUUCUGUUUAAUCUUGUUCAUUUCCUUUCAGUCCUUUUACUCUAAAGAGGGGUGUGUGUGUUUGGUUUGUUUUCACAUAGUUGUGAUCACAUUGUCUAUAUAAUUUUAUUUACUGCUUGCUUAGCAUAACAUCUGUAGCCAAGCAUUUUCCAUGUUAUUUUCAACUCCUCAUAAACAUGCAUCUUAAUAGUUGCAUAAUAAUCCGAUGGAUGGAUAUAUCAUAGUUUAACCAUUUCCUUAUUGUUGGCCAUAGGAAUUGUUCCAGGUUUUCAUUGUUACAGAAAACUCAAGGCAUGACUGGGCAUGGUGGCUCACGCCUGUAGUCCCAGCGCUUUGGGAGGCCAAGGCGGGUAGAUCACUUGAGUAGAUCAGGAGUUUGAGACCAGCCUGGUAAACAUGGCAAAACCCUGCCCCGUCUCUACUAAAAAUACAAAAAUUAGCCAGGCCUGGUUGCAGGUGCCUGUAAUCCCAGCUACACAGGAGGCUGAGACAGGAGAAUCGCUUGGACCUGGGAAGCGGAGGUUGCAGUGAACCAAGAUCAAGCCACUGCACUCCAGCCUGGGCGACAGAGUGAAACUCCAUCUCAAAAAAAGAAAACUAUAGGCAUGAACACCUUUAUGUGUCAGAUAUCACCAGCAAAACCAGCCCCACUUUUCCCAGCCUGUUAGAACAAGUUCCUUGAGAAAAAUUCUUAGAAAGGAUGUUACAAAGUCAAAUUAUAUGAAUAUUUAUCAAGAUUUGUGACUUAUCCUGCCAAAUUCAUUCCUGUAAAGUGAGUUCCCACUUCUAUUUCCAAGACAGUGGAUGAGACUGUGGCUGAGGGAUGUGGAUUUUGUUCUGCAGUGCUGCUGGUGAGGGCAUGAGACCAGGGUUUUGAUGGAUUCAUCCAGCAGCCAUUGGGUGGGUGGCUGGGCAGAGUCGGCGUUAGGAGGCUCUCAGCGGUGACUUAACUAUCUGCAAACCUGGCCCCAUCCCCAUGAUGACUAGAGCUCCCAUCCGUAGGAGAGGGAGGCCCUGUGGUCACAGUGUCACAUUCCUUUUCAGUCCAGCAUAAGCACUUUCACAUUGUUUUUUCCCUCCGUGAUUCAAAUGACAAGAACUCUUCAUCUUUAGGGAUCACAGUAUAAGACAGUGAAUAAGUUCAUGAGCCUUGGUGUUAUCCUGCCUGGAUUGGGAUCUCAACUCUACUAUUUAUUAGCUGUGUGAUUCUGGACCUCAGUUUCUCAAUCUGAGACAUGGUACUCACCUCCUAGGAUUAAAUUAAACAGGUAUUUUAUACACAACAUAAUAAGUGCUGAAUGCUUCUUAGAUCUUCUUAUCUAUCUCCCUCUUUCUAAAUGAAAGCGCCUGGUUGAAAGAAACUAAUUGAACCUCUGUAUUCACCACUUUCCUCCUCUUGAAAAUGCAACAAGGGAAGCUGUAUAAAGAAACAAUACUGGGCCAGGCGCGGUGGCUCACGCCUGUAAUCCCAGCAUUUUGGGAGGCCAAGGCGGGUGGAUCACCUGAGGUCAGGAGUUCAAGACCAGCCUGACCAACAUGGCAAAACCUCAUCUCUACUAAAAAUACAAAAUUAGCCAGGGGUGGUGGCACAUGCCUGUAAUCCCAGCUACUGGGGAAGCUGAAGCAGGAGAAUUGCUUGAACCCAGGAGGCAGAAGUUGCAGUGAGCCGAGAUCGCGUCAUCGCAUUCCAGCCUGGGCAACAAAGAGCGAAACUCCAUCUCAAAAAAAAAAAAAAAAGGAAAAAGAAACAAUACCAGAAAGCCCAUCUCUACAUUGCUAGGCAACCUUUCCAAGGUGUGUACCCACCCUGAAACCAUGGGGAUGAAGGGAAGGAGGUUGGGAGGCUACAGUGGUGCAUGACCAAUCAUCUCGGGACAUGGUACUGUCAGUGCUAAGACUGGGACAGUCCCUGGCAAACCAGGAGUGUUAGUCACCCUGGCAUGGUGAGAGUGGGUGAAGGAUCUGGUAAAGUUGUCCAAGGGUGGGAGAACAAGACUCUGGAGCAUUUGAGAAGGGUUUGCUUUUCCUUUAAUUAUUGUUUGGCAAAUCCCCUUGAAGCUCAUUUCACCUGCAACUUCUGGGAAUGAAUUGGCUGCCAAAAAUAAGACCCACGUGGGGUGGGGGCAGGGGGGUAAUUAAGUGCCUCCCAGGAAGCAGGGGCAAGGAUACUUCAAUAUCUUCCAGAUUCCUAGAGUGUGAAUGAUGUGAGCUUGCCUUGGGGUGAAGGCUGCUGGAGUCAGCUCUUUCCGAUCCUGGCUAGUUUUCUGCUCCUAAUAAAGGCUUCUUUCAUGGCUGGGCAAGAGGAAGACUCAGAUGGCCCUCCGUGGACAAGGGUUGGUUCCCGAAUCUGUCCCAGGUAACUUCUUGUUCCUCUGGGUCUCUGUGUGUAAUAUCCCCAGAGACAGAGGCCAAGAGAGGGGAAAGUGACUACACUUACACUGCAGGCCAGCGGAGGGGGUGGUCAAUAGCUGGUACUUCCUCUUCCAGCUCUUUUAAAGCAUUUUAAAAUUGGAUUAGUGUUUCAACAAACACUUGAAGGUUUGCUUUCCUCGGAGAGGCCCGAAGGGCUGAGGAAGAGCCUUCAUCUGUUUACUUUUUCUUUAUGUGGAAAUCUACUUGGGCUGUUUCUACAACUAGCUUGCCCCUCUCCCUUGGUGCCCCCUCCACCAGGUAAACCUCACCCCCUAACUUCCAGGCAGGUCUGCAUUCACCCUCAGGGCCCUGGCCCACCAUGGCUUUCUGGGUUGGCUGAAUCCUCGUGCCCUCCAGGAGCACUUUGGAGCAGCAGGGCUCAGGCAGCUCUCUCUGACCUGUGCCAGCCUUGAAAGUUUUCCUGGAAUGAAGAAGUGAGCUGACAGUGGACAGUCCUGUGUACUUCAUCUGCUUCUUGCAGGGAAACCAACAGAAGCGGUCUCUUUCCUCCUGUGGGUAGAGAAAGCCAGGAAGAUGGGGCAAAGCCUUGGGAAAACAGGUGGCUCUCAGCCCCACCAGAGCUCUUUGUCCUCAUCCUUUUUAUUUAAGCCCCUGCUUGGAGCCAGGCAGUGUGUGUGUGUGAGAGAGUUGUGCAAACAGAUAUGUGCAUGGAUGUAUGUACAGAGGAAAAAAAGACUGGGGCAGGGCAUUGUGGAGCUCUGAAAGGGAAGGAGGGCAGGCGGUCAAAGUAGACUUCUAUGUUUUAUUCUGUGUAUUAGUAUAUUAUAUAUGAACACAUUUAAAGUACAUAUUGAAUAAUAAGAGAAUUAUCCUCUGAGAUCCAUGUGAUCACUGUUAACUGAAGUACAGGGUCAAGCCUUGGAAGAUUCAGGAAUGACUUCCCAGAGGAGGUGGCGGGCAAACAGAGAUCACAGGAUAAGUGGAGGUAGCUGGAUUCAUUUUAUAGACAUUUGUUGAGUGUCUGUUGUGUGUCAGAUACUAUUUUUUUUUUUAUUUUUUUUGAGAUGGAGUCUCGCUCUGUCUCCCAGGCUGGAGUGCAGUGGCAUGAUCUUGGCUCACUGCAACUGCCGCCUCCCGGGUUCAACUGAGGCAGGAGUGCCUCAGCCUCCCGAGUAGCUGGAACUACAGGUGUGUACCACCACGCCCAGCUAAUUUUUGUAUUUUUAGUAGAGACGGGGUUUCACUGUACUGGUCAGACUGGUCUUGAACUGACCUUGUGAUCUGCCUGCCUCGGCCUCCCAAAGUGCUGGGAUUACAGGCGUGAGCCACUAUGCCCAGCCCCAGAUACUAUUUUAGAAGCAAAGGAUCUAGCAGAGAAUAAACACAUAAAGAUCUUGCCAUUGUGGAACUUACAGUCCAGUGGAGGGAGAAAGAUGAACAAAAAGAUCAUAUGAUGUCAGGUGGUAUUAAAGAAGAAUUAACACUUAUGGUAAGGAAGACUUUAUUCAAGACUAUUGCAACAGGAGUUGACUUUUUUUCUUUUUUUUUUCUUUGAGAUGGAGUCUCUGUCACCCAGGCUGGAGUGCAGUGGUGCGAUCUCGGCUCACUGCACCCUCUGCCUCCCAGGUUCAACCGAUUCUCCUGCCUCAGCCUCCUGAGUUGCUGGGAUUACAGGCACAUACCACCACACCUGGCUAAUUUUUGUAUUUUUAGUAGAGAUAGGGUUUCACCAUGGUGGUCAGGCUGGUCUUGAACUCCUGACUGACCUCAGGUCAUCCACCCUCCUCAUCCUCCCAAAGUGCUGAGAUUACAGGCAUGAGCCAUUGCACCCGGCCUAGGAGUUAACUUUUGCAAUAGAGGAAGGAGGUUGAGUUCAUCACUGAAUCCAGCAAAGACCUAGUUGGGCAUUUAUAAUCAGAGUGAGGGGGUCAUUGGGUGGAAAAUCACUAAGAGAAGACACGAAGGGUAGGGGAACUCUUGCUAAACCAACUCAACAGGAUUCUGUGGAAGGCAGGCCAAGGACUUACACAUUAAAAGUGGGGGAUGAGGAACUUGGUCAGAUAUUGAGGGUGGGGGAAUGACUCAGCUGAAUUAUUUGCUAAAGGCAGGCCACAUGAAGAAGAGGAUCUAGAGGAGCCUGUCUAAAGUUUGGUCAAGGAGAGAGUCUUUGUUGGUGCUGUGAAGCAAAUGAAGCAGCUGUGGGAUAGUGAGGCUACAGAGUGACAGGUUAGGCCCUUUUUUUGUUUUUGAGAUGGGUGUCUUCUUCUGUUGCCUGAGCUGUGGUGCAAUGGCUUGAUCAUAGCUCACUGCAGCCUCGAACUCCUGGGCCCAAGCAAUCCUCCUGCUUCAGCCUCCUUACUAGCAGGGACAACAGGCACCUGUCAUUGUGUUUGGCUCAUAGGGGUGCUUUUUAAAUUUAAUUUAGUUUUAUUUUUGAGGUGAAGUGUUCACUGUGUAGCGACACGAUCUCGGCCCACUGCAAUCUCCGUCUCCCAGGUUCAAUCAAUUCUCCUGCCUCAGCAUUCUGAGUAGCUGGGAUUACAGCCGUCCUCCACCACGCCUCACUAAUUUUUGUAUUUUUAAUAGAGACAGGGUUUCACUAUGUUGGCCAGGCUGGUCUUGAACUCCUGACCUCAAGUGAUCCACCCGCCUUGGCCUCCCAAAGUGUUGGGAUUACAGGCGUGAGCCACCGCACCCGGCCUGCAGUGCUUUUUAAUACUCAGUGUUAGCAAGGUCUUUAGGGCUGAAAUCUGGAUCAUGUGUCAGAGCCAGACUUUCAAAUGGCCCCCCUAGAGGGUGUGUUCUGGGUAAAGGAAACAGCCUGUACAAAGGCCCUGAGGGGUGUGUUCAGUGUGUUUGAGCAACAGUGAGGAGGAGGGGGUUUGUAGGGGAAGAGUGAUAGGAAAUAAGGUUGAAGAGGGUGGGGUGAGAGUAGAUCAUGCAGGCCUUAUAGGAUGUGAUAAAAAAGGAUGAGAAAGAAAGCUGGGAGGAAGGAUAAUUUGGAUUUAGGGUAAGGGACAGCGUUGCUCAUCUACAGGACCACAAGGGGUUCUGUGCUGCAGGGGCAUAAGAAGGAGCAUGUGCCAUGUGGGGAAUGCAGGGAAGCAGGGCAGAGGGACGUAGGAGAGGAAGAUUAAGAGCCAAGGGGGAGGGGCAGGCAGGCAGGUCCUUUUCCAUCUUUUCAGUCAGGGUUUCUCAAUCAUUUUAAUGAGAGCCUCAGCCCUUGCGUAAAAAUCAAGCAAUAAAGGGAGGAAUGCCUCUCUGUUUAACUUGAAGGAGAGCUACAGAAGAUGGAAAAGAGGGUUAGUUGAAAUAAAGUUGGAGCUGAUCUCGCUUGGCUGGCUGCCCUUUCUAUAAAUAUCGCCCUCCCAGUCCUGGAAAUGCAGCAGUUAGGGUCCUUGUGAGCUACUGAGGAACAUCCUUCCUGUUCAAAUGCCCAGGACUUGGCUGCCUGUGCACUUCCAUAUGCAAAGUGCCUAGAAGCUGGGGAGAGGGAGAGUGCAGGGUCAAAAGUGGGGAAUUCUGAGCCCACUCCUUUUACCCCCUGGGGGUGGCCUCACUUCCUCUGGGGGCUCUGACAGCUCUCUGGCCUGUCUUCAGCUUAGAAAUCUGCAAAAGUCAUUGGCCAGGCUCAGGAGAACUAAUCCUUUGUGCCAGAGGUAUGGUGGUAUGGUGGGGAGCUAGCUCCUCGCUGGUGCUGAGCCCUGCUGCCCCUGGGGUUUUACUGGGAGAGAGGGAGAGGGUGGAGGGGCUAGUGUAAUUCGGCAAUUUGUGAGUUAAAAAGCAGAUGAGAACCCACAGAGUAACGAGACAUUCUUCUCUUUGCAUGCAAGAUUCUGCUGAAUGUUGGAAGAGGAAGGAAUAUUUUUCUUGCUUUUCAGACAUGACAUCCUGUGAGGGGAAGAUUUGGAACAGAUGGGGGCCAGGGGAGCCUCACUGUAUUUGCUUGUUUCACCACCACCUCCUCCCUCCCACAACCAGAAAUGUCUUUUUCUUCCCGCCUAGGGAAGUUAAUGUAAAGGCAGGUAGGGGGGAUGUCCUGUAGAUUAGGAAAGUAAGUUAUCAGGGGUCAGGGAAAAAUAAUCCAUUAGGUUUCCAGAAAGAAUCCACUUUUCAUUGCAGUCUCCUUCUAGGUCCAAAGAUAGACAACUAACUCAAAAUUGUAUCUUCGCUUUAAUCACUGCUCUGGUGAUAUUUGCAUUAAUGAAAGAGAAAAGAAAGCAUCCCCAACAGAUGGAAAAGGCGGCUCUCUGACUAGUGAAAGGUAAGGAAUUUUUCUGAAAUCUUGGGUGCACAAUGUGGGAAAAACAAAAUUGGUAAUGUCUCAUGGGAUCAGCGCAGGCAUCUGCACAGUUUUCACUCCGACUUCUGUCUGUCAGAUUGACUGCAUUAGAGAAGACCGUAAAUGUGGUGAUGGAAGUGGGCUGUGACACACUUGACUGGCUGUAGCAGUGUUCCUGGUAGAGCCACAUUCCCAGCACAGCUGUGGGUAGCUGGGCAGCUAGUAUGAUGUUAGUCCCCAAAUCACAGCCGAUUCUUUCUGCUGUCAAAUAUACAGCCCCUGAGCCCCCUUCCCCUGAACCUGGAAGGGGGUUCUGCUGGUGAAGUCAGAUGGCCUUGUUAGCCAGGGUGGGCCAGUCUAACUGCCUGUUGCAUCUUGUCUGUUCCCCAAAGACAGCUUGGCUUGAUGUGAUGUGAAAAGGAUGGGGCAGAAGGAGAAGGGGACAGAUUCUGUGCUUUCCUUCUGUCGUUCUUUUUUGGCUGGUGGGAGCCUGUGUUGUUUUUCUCUUCCUUCGUAGGAGGGGAUUUUGAGUUCUGGGGUCUGGCUGAGGAGACACGUGCCAGAGUGUCUGGCCCUUUUGGGUCAGGCUGCCUGACUCUGGCACACAGUUCUGGAAGGAUGUCCUGGAGAGCUGGUUUACUGAGGCAACAGCUGCAAGCUAACUAGGGAAAGAGAAGAGGAAAGUACUAGGUUGCUGUGUGCUCAGGAUCCCCGGUUGAGAUAUGGAGAAUUAUGUCUGGGGAACAAAACCUAACAGGCUGUCCUCAUCACAUGAGAUAUGUUCCCAGGCUGGAGUGCAGUGGCGUGAUCUUGGCUCACUGCAGCCUCUACUUCCUGGGCUCAGGAGAUCCUCCCACCUCAGCCUCCCAAGUAACUGGGACUACAGGCACGUGGCACACCCCAUGCUUGGUUCUUUCUUUCCUUUCUUUUCCUUCUUUUCCUCCCUUCCCUCCCUUCCCUUUCCUUCCCUUUCUUUCCCUUUCCUUCCCUUUCCUUCUCUCCUUCCUUCCCUCCUUCCUUCCCUCCUUCCUUCCUUCCUUCCUUCCUUCCUUCCUUC